CUAGAUAUAUCACAUGAUUUGCAUCCAUGUUCUUUGUACCAAAAUAAAGCUCCACAAAAUUAACACUAAUGUUUGAGAAGACCGAUGUUUAAUUGUUUGAUAAACUUUCCUACAUUACAGAAAACACAAAAAUCUUAAGACCAAUUGAACUCUGUCUUUAUAUUGAAAACAUAAAAAUCAAAAAAAAUGCACCAUAGCUAAAGGGCUUACUUCAUUUAUCAUUGGAAGU
rnacentral:lncRNA from 1 species